rnacentral:rRNA from 1 species
UACCAGUAGCGAAGGCGACUUUCUGGACACAUACUGACGCUAAGGAACGAAAGCGUGGGGAGCAAACAGGAUUAGAUACCCCGGUAGUCCACGCCCUUAAACGAUGAAUGCUAGGUGUCGGGGGGUCAAACCUCNGGUGCCCCCGCUAACGCAUUAAACCAUUCCGCCUNGGGGAGUACNCCGCGCNAGCCG